UAUCUGAUGGCGUGCCUCCCA
rnacentral:siRNA from 1 species